AACAUGCAACACGACAUCUUUCAAAAAACCUAGGACGGCGUUGGUGUCAAACAGUGGUUCUGGACCAAGUAACAUAACAGGAUGAAGGGGGAUGUGGUGGCGGUAUGCUAAGAGAAAAUGUUUUUUUCUUUCGGAUUCGGCUUCCCGACACUCCAGUAGGACGUGGAGGACGGUCAGCCUCUCCCCGCAUCUACCACAGGUUGGAGGCUCGUUUCCCAAAGGAUUGCGAGUAAUGGUUGGCACUUGACACGCUUUCAAAGUGCUCCCCAAACAAGCACCAGAAGAAAAAAGGAACUGUUCGACAAGACGUCCUCGUGCAUCUAUUCGAGGGUCGCCCCACAGGUAGUUAUGUGCAUUGAAAUCGCCAAGAACAGCAUAGGGGUCUGGCAAUUCAUCAAUAAAGGACUGAAAUUCAUGUUUGCUUAGUUUAUAAUGUGGGGGUAUAUAAAGUGAGCAAAUAGUGAUAAGCUUGUUUAGCAGAAUAACUCGAACCGCCACUGCCUCAAGGGCCGUUCGUAGCUGCAAACGUUGACAGGCUAUGCUUUUUUGAAUUACAAUGGCGACACC